rnacentral:rRNA from 1 species
GAUGAACGCUAGCUGCAGGCUUAACACAUGCAAGUCGAGGGACCGGCGCACGGGUGAGUAGCACGUAUCCAACCUGCCCUUUACUCGAGGAUAGCCUUUCGAAGGAAAGAUUAAUACCCGAUAUAAAGGAUGGGGAUGCGUUCCAUUAGGUUGUUGGUGAGGUAACGGCUAACCAAGCCUUCGAUGGAUAGGGGUUAUGAGAGGAAGGUCCACGACAUUGGAAAUGAGACCCGGUCCAAACGCCUACGGGAGGCAGGAGUGAGGAACAUAGGUCAAGGGGCCCUAGCCUGACCCAGCCAAGUAGCUGGAAGGAUGAAUGCUUAUGGGGCUUAAUUUUCUUGUAUAUAAGAAUAGGUACCAUAUGAAGAAGGAUCGGCUAACUCCGUGCCAGCAGCCGCGGUAAUAC